rnacentral:tRNA from 1 species
GCCCCUGUAGUUUAAUGGAUAGAACAAAAGACUCCUAAGCUUUAGAUGUAGGUUCGAUUCCUGCCAGGGGCACCA